ensembl:lncRNA
UGAUAGUUUGCAGCCACUGCUACAGGGACAGAAAGGGAGUGGAAUUUUAUUUGUCUUUCUUUCUUCUUGCUCCGUCAGGAAAUAAUUCUAAUGAGCUCUUGGAGUCAGUGGCUGAUUGCAUCGUCACACACCAGGUCUGACUGUGAAGCUGAAGGAGAGGUCAUGGCAUCCAUUUUGCUCCUAAGCAUCUCCUCAUCUCACUGAGACUGGUUGAGGGCACUCUGAGGCCAUAAAGUUGUUUACUGGUGAAGAAAACAACUUGCAGGAUGGCACGACAUUUAAUUUUCAGUGUUGCAAGGUUCAAUCAAGCAUUAUCUCUGCCUACAUACACCAGAACAGGAAGGCAGUGAUAAAUGGACACAGUGAAGAAGCUGCAUUGCAUGUGUGAGAGAUGGGAAACUGAGGCACAGCCUAAACUGCUCUGCAGUCCAUCAUCCAUCUGCAAUCCAUCAUGGAAACUUUGGGGGAUCACCUGGUUUAAAACCACCUGAGGGACCCCACUGCCUCCUCCUGUUUCUUCUACAUCCUUCAUCCCUGCAUACAGGCACCAGUGACAAGAUUUCUAAUAUAACUUGCCCUUCUUUAAGACUCUUUGUGCACAUUUACGAUGACACAAAUCAAAUAUGCAUUCUUCUCACCUGUCAUCUGCAAAGAAGCUGAGGCAGAGAAAUUUAAGUGGCUGGUCUGAAGUCGAAGAAAAAAGCCCUGAGGCACAAUACACCAUGAGGACCCUCAAGUCCUGUCUUUAAGCCUUCAUUGCCCACAGCUCUGUGCCACACAGGCUGCUCCUUACUUACGUUGUCCCUGGUCAUAAUUAAGUAGAAUAGUUCAGUAGUUCUCUACUGAGCAAUAAAACAAGAGGUUCCCAGAUCUUGCACUUACUGGGAUACCCAAGGCUGGCUUUGUCUCUAUACAUUACUCAGAUCUAAUUAGAAUCGUAAAGGAUUUUCAUGACUUUGUAGUUUUCCCUGCUCAAAAGUAAAUCCGUCCUUAAUACCAUGGAGAGCACAUACUGAGAAAGUCAGAGAGAAGAGAGAAUUAAAGGAAAGCCCAGGCGAAGGUACGGGAGAGGAUGCCAGGUACAAUCACUGAAGCAAAUAAAGUGAAUUAGUUGAGAGGCAGUUAACCGUCCUGCUGAGAGAAGGAGCUAGGGACAGAAUGGCAAAACAGGGAGAUCUGAGCAGAGAUACAGUGCGCACAGAGAUGACAUUAAGGAGUUCAGCAGCCUUUGUUCUUAUUUACAUGGGUGUGAGUUCUAGAUGACCAGCUUGACAUGGGAGUUAUUUGUAUGCUAUUGUUCUCUGUGUAGCAAAGAGCAGAAUUUGGCCUCCUUUUCAUCAUAGAGUCUUCAAUCAGUCAGAAGAGAGUGGAUUUUUUUUCACUUCUGCCAGUUGUUGAGUGAAUGAUGGGUCAACUGAUAGUUUAAAGCCACAGAAAAUAAACUUUCUGAAGCCAAUCUCUCCCUACUCAUUUAUAUACACUAAUAACACACUUGUCUUAUAGCCCGUCUGGGAUUGCUUUGUUGUUUAGGUGUCAGGCUUUCCACCACCAUUAUGCACUCUUUCCAUUCCCUAGUGGCCAGCCUUCCCAGUGCCAGCUACC